UACGUAGGGGGCAAGCGUUGUCCGGAAUCAUUGGGCGUAAAGCGCGCGUAGGCGGCCCGAUCAGUCCGCUGUAAAAGUCCAGGGCUCAACCCUGGAAAGCCGGUGGAUACUGUCGGGCUAGAGUCCGGAAGAGGCGAGUGGAAUUCCUGGUGUAGCGGUGAAAUGCGCAGAUAUCAGGAAGAACACCCGUGGCGAAAGCGGCUCUCUGGAACGGUACUGACGCUGAGACGCGAAAGCGUGGGGAGCGAACAGG
rnacentral:rRNA from 1 species